CAUCCUCCACAAGCUAACCCCAUGUUGAAUAAAAUAAAUAACAUCAUGUUAGGAACUAUACAAAAUUAUCAAAAAAGGAGACAAAUUUUGUAGUUUUACAUAAAUACCUUUGGUUAAUACCGUCCUCCUGAGGCUGUGGCAAUGCCAACGCCAGAUCUCAUUGCAAGUCAUUGAAUUAAGUGGCAAUUUCAGGCCAUCAGAAUGUUAUGUAAGUGAGAAUUCUCUCCUUAAUCCAAGCAUGCAAUUCUAUGAAUAUCAAUGGGAAAACUCCAUUCUGGAUAAGCCGUUACAUCUGUCUCUCUGUCUUUAUAUUACUUUUUCUUGUCUUUUCUCCAUCCGCCUCCCAUCUGCUACCAAUACGCGUUCCUCCUUUACCUGCGUACGUUUUGCUUAUUUAACAUGAAAAGUUAACUCCCCAAACUGUUCACUCAGGCACAUCUCACAAUGCAAACAAUCUGGGUUUUUUUUUAAAUUAUGCACGAGUGAUUAAAUUCUUCUCCUACUGCCCUCCCAAUCAGGCAUUGUCUCAUCGAAGAAGGAAGAUUUAUGUGCGGACAGCAGAUGCCUGAAUUAGAUACAUCAUCUCGUACUCAUGCAAUCAUGCAGAUUGCAUGUGUGUAACGGGAGUCAUUUGGUAUCGUGCCCUUGAGUCACGACACACACAGAUGCCAGCGGUAUUCAGGGUCAUCUUUUUAAUUUGUGAAAGUGAUGUGAAACAAAGACAAUGAAGAGAGUCUUUCCAAAAAAGCAAUGGGAACCCGGGAGUCCUUGGAGGCUUACGGUAAAUGUCCUCCUGCAGUCAAGGGCUUUAGACUAAUAGGUAAAUGAACCCUCGGUGUUAGUUUCAUUUUGUUUUCAGGGAGACUCCUGACUGUGUGACGUCCCGGAUGACGUCCUUGUGAUUUGUGGAAAUAAACUAUAUGUCCUUGGGUAAAGAACAUGGUCUGAAUCCACCGGCGGAUAACACAACACCCCCCGUUUCAUUAUGGUAUCUUUCAGCGCCGCAGAUGAAAACCUUUUAACACACACGUGGAUACGUGCUGUGCCAUCAUCCGUUCCUUUUCAAUAAUUGGGGGAAUCAAAAAUAACCAACAGGAAGCAAGUUAACAUGUUUUGCAUUUAACUGCUGUAUUGAAAGCUUUGUUGAUGUGGCACAGGAUGCUUACUUCUCAUGACUAAUUCGAGAAGAAUUAAAAACGACUCAUGGCUGCUGGUUCAUUAGGCGACGCAGAGCUGUCCUACUCGGCAGGCGCCGUUAAUCCAGAUUGAAACCUGAUGAAAACAACCUGCUGCGGCUCAGUUUACACACUCAGACCGGCGAUUCUCUCAACAGAAACACGCCUGUCAGUGUGAAGGAAUUCUCUCUCCGUCACCUGUUCGAGUGAGCAGCAAACACAGCAGACCAACACGUCUACCCAACAACGCGCCAGCCAGGGUUCCUUCUAUUGGCUUCCCUUUGAUGUGACACGAGGGAUCACGGGCAACUUUCAAGCUGUUGCCUACAGAUAACAGACGGUUUGAUCUUUUGCAGCUG
ensembl:lncRNA